rnacentral:misc_RNA from 1 species
AUGGCUAUUGUCAUGGCAAGGGAUGCAGGCAUGGACUGGAUACUUCAUCUUGACACGGAUGAACUGAUACAUCCUGCUGGUUCUAGUGAAUAUUCUUUGAGACAAUUACUGCUGGAUGUUCCUGGGAAUGUAGAUAUGGUUAUUUUUCCAAAUUAUGAGAGUAGUGUUGAAAGAGAUGAUGUUAAGGAUCCCUUUAGCGAGGUUUCAAUGUUCAAAAAGAAUUAUGACCAUCUCCCAAAGGAUACAUACUUUGGCAUGUAUAAGGAAUCAACUCGUGGUAAUCCCAACUACUUCUUAACUUAUGGAAAUGGGAAAUCAGUAGCUCGAAUUCAAGAUCAUCUCCGUCCUAAUGGUGCACACCGAUGGCACAA